rnacentral:sRNA from 1 species
GGCACUGAAAUUUUCGGGAAUUAACGA